rnacentral:misc_RNA from 1 species
UCCGGGUUGAUCCCGGCUGUCCUGUGCAUGUCAAGCCCUGGUAAGGUUCUUCGCGUAGCUUCGAAUUAAACCGCACGCUCCGCUGCUUGUGCGGGCCCCCGUCAAUUCCUUUGAGUUUCAGCCUUGCGGCCGUACUCCCCAGGCGGGGCACUUAAUGCGUUAGCGCCGGCACCCGGAGGGUCGCUCCCCCGGGCACCUAGUGCCCAUCGUUUACGGCGUGGACUAC